rnacentral:rRNA from 1 species
CGAGCGAGAAGCCCGCAAGGGUGAGUAAAGCGGCGCACGGGUGAGUAACACGUGGGUAAUCUUCCUUGGAGCCCGGAAUAACUCCCCGAAAGGGGUGCUAAUGCCGGAUGAGACCACGGGAUCUCCGGAUCCUGAGGGAAAAGGCGGCCUCUGUACACAAGCUGUCACUCCAAGAUGAGCCCGCGGCCCAUCAGCUAGUUGGCGGGGUAAUGGCCCACCAAGGCAUCGACGGGUAGCUGGUCUGAGAGGACGAUCAGCCACACUGGAACUGAGACACGGUCCAGACUCCUACGGGAGGCAGCAGUGGGGAAUUUUGCGCAAUGGGCGAAAGCCUGACGCAGCAACGCCGCGUGUGUGAUGAAGGUCUUCGGAUCGUAAAGCACUGUCGGGAGGGACGAAUAAGGCGGCGGCUAAUAUCCGCAGCCGAUGACGGUACCUCCAAAGGAAGCACCGGCUAACUCUGUGCCAGCAGCCGCGGUAAUACAGAGGGUGCAAGCGUUGUUCGGAAUUAUUGGGCGUAAAGCGCGUGUAGGCGGCCUUGCAAGUUGGGUGUGAAAGCCCUCGGCUUAACCGAGGAAGUGCGCCCAAAACUACAGGGCUUGAGUACCGGAGAGGGUGGAGGAAUUCCCGGUGUAGAGGUGAAAUUCGUAGAUAUCGGGAGGAACACCAGUGGCGAAGGCGGCCACCUGGACGGAUACUGACGCUGAGACGCGAAAGCGUGGGUAGCAAACAGGAUUAGAUACCCUGGUAGUCCACGCUGUAAACGAUGAGCGCUAGGUGUUGUGGGUGUUGACCC